GCUAAGUAGAGACUACUUUCUUAUGUAAAACCAGUUUUUUGGCAAAAUUUGAAAAUUCGCCACAUUCUGCCAUUAUAAGCAUCAUCUUGUGCAAUGUGCAAUAGAUUAUUCUGGUACCUUAUUGCAACACUCUGAUUAGGCAGAACCCCAGGUAAGUAUAACUCACUUCAUCUCCCUUCUUACUUCCCCUGAUAUAACUUGUCAUGCCAACUUGACAUCACUACUUUAG